CACAGCUCGACGCCACUCAGAUUCA
rnacentral:siRNA from 1 species